UGACGUUAGCGGCGGACGGGUGAGUAACACGUGGAUAACCUACCUAUAAGACUGGGAUAACUUCGGGAAACCGGAGCUAAUACCGGAUAAUAUAUUGAACCGCAUGGUUCAAUAGUGAAAGACGGCCUUGCUGUCACUUAUAGAUGGAUCCGCGCCGCAUUAGCUAGUUGGUAAGGUAACGGCUUACCAAGGCAACGAUGCGUAGCCGACCUGAGAGGGUGAUCGGCCACACUGGAACUGAGACACGGUCCAGACUCCUACGGGAGGCAGCAGUAGGGAAUCUUCCGCAAUGGGCGAAAGCCUGACGGAGCAACGCCGCGUGAGUGAUGAAGGUCUUCGGAUCGUAAAACUCUGUUAUUAGGGAAGAACAAAUGUGUAAGUAACUGUGCACGUCUUGACGGUACCUGAUCAGAAAGCCACGGCUAACUACGUGCCAGCAGCCGCGGUAAUACGUAGGUGGCAAGCGUUAUCCGGAAUUAUUGGGCGUAAAGCGCGCGUAGGCGGUUUUUUAAGUCUGAUGUGAAAGCCCACGGCUCAACCGUGGAGGGUCAUUGGAAACUGGAAAACUUGAGUGCAGAAGAGGAAAGUGGAAUUCCAUGUGUAGCGGUGAAAUGCGCAGAGAUAUGGAGGAACACCAGUGGCGAAGGCGACUUUCUGGUCUGUAACUGACGCUGAUGUGCGAAAGCGUGGGGAUCAAACAGGAUUAGAUACCCUGGUAGUCCACGCCGUAAACGAUGAGUGCUAAGUGUUAGGGGGUUUCCGCCCCUUAGUGCUGCAGCUAACGCAUUAAGCACUCCGCCUGGGGGAGUACGACCGCAAGGUUGAAACUCAAAGGAAUUGACGGGGGACCCGCACAAGCGGUGGAGCAUGUGGGUUUAAUUCGAAGCAACGCGAAGAACCUUACCAAAUCUUGACAUCCUUUGACCCCUCUAAAGAUAGAGUUUUUCCCCUUUCGGGGGGACAAAGUGACAGGGGGGUGCAUGGGUUGUCGUUCGCCUCGUGGUCGUGAAAAUGUUGGGGUUAAGUCCCCGCAACGAAGCGCAACCCUUUAAGCUUAAGUGGCCAUCAUUUAAGUUGGGGCACUCCUAAGUUGGACUGGCCGGGGGACAAACCCGGAAGGAAAGGGGGGGGGAUGGACGUCCAAAUC
rnacentral:rRNA from 1 species